UGAGGGACCCGGUUACCAACCCUCAUGUAGCUCAGUUUGCCCAUCUGUCCCCGUGCUAACACACAGUUCUCGGGAGACGUUCCCCAUUCCCAGAGGAGUAGUGCGAAAUGCGUGUGCCUCUAGUCUUAAGCUGGGCGUUUGUAUUAGUUGGGUUUCCUGGUGUCUAUUUAGCAAGUGAAGUUUCUGGUUCCCUCCUUCACUGUGUGACCUGCCUAGUCCUCCUGGAUUGCAUUUAUGGAAGUUUAUAGAGACCUAGUUUCCAUGGAGGAACUCACUGAUUCCGCCAGGGAGAUGGGGUACUGGAUGAUGGUCUUCAGCCUUAAGGGUACUUCAGUCUUAACUGUGUGUUAUAAAGUUUGAAAGGGAGGGUUCCCUAUGAAUAAGAAGCGCACUUGAAAGAACAGCCCUGUGGUCUAACCUCUCACUGGUGCUUCAGAGGAGGAUAAAAGGUCGCAGCUAUGUUUCCAGUGUCCUCUGGGUGUUUCCAAGAGCAACAAGAAACGAAUAAAUCUCUGGCUGCAUAAGGGGAGUAAACACAAAGUACAUUUGACCACAAAAUGACUUUUUAAAAGUCAGAACUAUGGUAGCAUGAAGCCAAACGAGGUCCACGUAAAGGCUCUGACACUUUCUUGGGGACACACUGCUAAGGGUUCCACAGAAGUCUCCAAUCUUUAAAUCUUCAGUGUAUGAAAGCACAGAUUCCUGAAAGAAUGGCCUCAAAUGACCAGGAGUAGGAGCUCUCUAUAUCCCUGCUCCUGAAAAACAAGCUAACUGGAGUCUCCAUCACCUGCCACCAGCUAUACACACUACCAACUACCCAACUGAACUCCAUGACUGAUUUUCCAGCUAAUCAUGCCCCUGACCCAGCCCACAUGGACAUGGGAAGGACAUCAGUGAACUGUGAAAAGAGGCAGAGGUGAGGAGACACCUGCCCUGUGCCACACAUCUAUGUAGUUCAGCAAUUUCCAUCCCCUUAGUACUCCAGGGGCUCUAAGCCACCCCUUUGUAAGUCAGGAUGGAAGUAGAUGACACCACAUUUCUAUCUGCUGUAGACAUUCUUCCCAGUGUCUCAAAAUGUUUUGGCAUCUUUCAGUAAAAAUCUUCAAGUUUGUCA
rnacentral:lncRNA from 1 species